AUUUUAUUCUUUGUUUUGAGCA
rnacentral:miRNA from 1 species